UACGGAGGGGGCUAGCGUUGUUCGGAAUUACUGGGCGUAAAGCGCACGUAGGCGGACUGUUAAGUCGGGGGUGAAAUCCUGGGGCUCAACCUCAGAAUUGCCUCCGAUACUGGCAGUCUCGAGUGCGGGAGAGGUGAGUGGAAUUCCCAGUGUAGAGGUGAAAUUCGUAGAUAUUGGGAAGAACACCAGUGGCGAAGGCGGCUCACUGGCCCGUAACUGACGCUGAGGAGCGAAAGCGUGGGGAGCGAACAGG
rnacentral:rRNA from 1 species